rnacentral:rRNA from 1 species
UGGGGAAUAUUGGACAAUGGGCGCAAGCCUGAUCCAGCCAUGCCGCGUGAGUGAUGAAGGCCCUAGGGUUGUAAAGCUCUUUCACCGGUGAAGAUAAUGACGGUAACCGGAGAAGAAGCCCCGGCUAACAUCGUGCCAGCAGCCGCGGUAAUACGAAGGGGGCUAGCGUUGUUCGGAUUUACUGGGCGUAAAGCGCACGUAGGCGGACUUUUAAGUCAGGGGUGAAAUCCCGGGGCUCAACCCCGGAACUGCCUUUGAUACUGGAAGUCUUGAGUAUGGUAGAGGUGAGUGGAAUUCCGAGUGUAGAGGUGAAAUUCGUAGAUAUUCGGAGGAACACCAGUGGCGAAGGCGGCUCACUGGACCAUUACUGACGCUGAGGUGCGAAAGCGUGGGGAGCAAACAGG